rnacentral:rRNA from 1 species
GACGAACGCUGGCGGCGUGCUUAACACAUGCAAGUCGAACGGAAAGGCCCUGCUUUUGUUGGGUGCUCGAGUGGCGAACGGGUGAGUAACACGUGAGUAACCUGCCCUUGACUUUGGGAUAACUUCAGGAAACUGGGGCUAAUACCGGAUAGGAGCUCCUGCUCCAUGGUGGUGGUUGGAAAGUUUCGGCGGUUGGGGAUGGACUCGCGGCUUAUCAGCUUGUUGGUGGGGUAGUGGCUUACCAAGGCUUUGACGGGUAGCCGGCCUGUGAGGGUGACCGGACACAAUGGGACUGAGAUACGGCACAGACUCCUACGGGAGGCAGAAGUGGGGAAUAUUGCACAAUGGGCGGAAGCCUGAUGCAGCAACGCCGCGUGCGGGAUGACGGCCUUCGGGUUGUAAACCGCUUUCGCAUGUGACGAAGCGUGAGUGACGGUAAUGGGUAAAGAAGCACCGGCUAACUACGUG